GGUGUGACCAUCAGGGCAGUAAACGCGAAGCGCAGCCGCCCCCGCGACCGUGACCGGAGAGGCCCCGUUGCCACUGACCGCAAGGUCGGGAAGGUGGGGGCCGGGGGGCAACCCACUUCGCAAGCCGGGAGACCUGCC
rnacentral:ncRNA from 2 species